rnacentral:misc_RNA from 1 species
CCGAGUUCAUGCCCUUACGGGUAGACCUCCCACCCUAUGUUAUAUUACCUUUGUUGCUUUGGCGGGCCGCCCGGCUUCGGCCAGGCUACCGGCUCCAGCUGGUAAGCGCCUGCCAGAGGAAAUCAAACUCUGAAUAUCAGUGUCGUCUGAGUAAAUUAUAAUAAGUUA